rnacentral:rRNA from 1 species
AAGGCCUUCGGGUUGUAAAGCUCUUUUGUCCGGGAGGAAACGGUGUACUCUAAUAAAGGAUGCUAAUGACGGUACCGGAAGAAUAAGCACCGGCUAACUACGUGC